AUACAAGGAAGAUAAACCGGCGGAUCCCUCUGGGGACACACUGGGGUACUGGACAGAUGAAGGGUCCUACUAUUUCGAGAAAACCGAUGGAACAUCAACGUAUGAAGAUACAUUGAUCAAAGUGUUUGCUGAUGCCCGCAAUAGAAGUAUACCAUACAGGUAUGUAGAACUGGACACCUGGUGGUUUACAAAAGGUCAAGGUGGAGGGGUCAAGGAGUGGACAGCACCAGCAGACAUCUUCCCCAACGGCAUCGAGUAUGUCCACAGGAGUUUGAAAGU